UGAGGGAUAUUGCGCAAUGGGGGAAACCCUGACGCAGCGACGCCGCGUGGGUGAUGAAGGCCUUCGGGUCGUAAAACCCUUUUGCCACUGACGAGGAAGGACGGUAGGUGGCGAAUAAGCCUCGGCUCACUACGUGCCAGCAUCCGCGGUAAUACGUAGGGGGCAAGCGUUGUCCGGAUUUACUGGGUGUAAAGGGCGCGCAGGCGGGAUAAAAAGUCAGUGGUGAAAUCCUACAGCUUAACUGUAGAACUGCCUUUGAUACUUUGAUUCUUUAGUUCGGGAGAGAGACGGAAUUCCAGGUGUAGUGGUGAAAUACGUAGAUAUCUGGAAGAACACCAGUUGCGAAGGCGGUCUCUUGGUCCGACACUGACGCUGAGGCGCGAAAGCGUGG
rnacentral:rRNA from 1 species